rnacentral:lncRNA from 1 species
AACACUUGGCUCAUUUCUUAUUUUUGAAUAUGAUAAGAAAAAUUGCUAUUUCAAUGUUAUCAUAUUCGACAGAAGUGCUUCAGAAAUUGACUAUCCAUAUAUAGUCAAUGGUGACAAUGAGAGGAUUAAUAAUCUUGAAGAAGCUCAAAAUGAUUUCUGUGGUCAAAACUUGGAAGAUUUCUUGCCCAACCGGAAAGUAAAAGAGGAAUCACCAGAGAGGAUUAAUAAUCUCGACAGAAGUGCUUCAGAAAUUGACUAUCCAUAUAUAGUCAAUGGUAACAAUGAGAGGAUUAAUAAUCUUGAAGAAGCUCAAAAUGAUUUCUCUGGUCAAAACUUGGAAGAUUUCUUGCCCAACCGGAAAGUAAAAGAGGAAUCACC